CACGUAGUUAGCCGGGGCUUCUUAGUCAGGUACCGUCAUUUUCUUCCCUGCUGAUAGAGCUUUACAUACCGAGAUACUUCUUCGCUCACGCGGCGUCGCUGCAUCAGGGUUUCCCCCAUUGUGCAAUAUUCCCCACUGCUGCCUCCCGUAGGAGUUUGGGCCGUGUCUCAGUCCCAAUGUGGCCGUUCACCCUCUCAGGCCGGCUACUGAUCGUCGCCUUGGUGGGCCGUUACCCCGCCAACCAGCUAAUCAGACGCGGGUCCAUCCUAUACCACCGGAGUUUUUCACACCGGAGCAUGCGCUCCUGUGCGCUUAUGCGGUAUUAACAGUCGUUUCCAACUGUUAUCCCCCUGUAUAGGGCAGGUUACCCACGCGUUACUCACCCAUCCGCCACUAAACUAAACCAAAUCCUUUCCGAAGACUCUCAUCGGAGUUAGUUCCGUUCGACUUGCAUGUGUUAAGCACGCCGCCAGUCGUUCAUCCUGACGCCAAGGAUACCAAACUUCCUCUGAGACUGACCCG
rnacentral:rRNA from 1 species